GUGGUGGGCCUAUUUGGUUGGGCCAGGAGGGAGGAGCAGAAAUGGAAUACAGUUUUGGCCUGUAUCCUGGGAAAUGGGAAAAACGGGGGGAGUGAAAGGGAAAAGGAAAUGUUGUUGUGAUCGGAAUCGGAGAGAGAAUGAGAAGCAAGAGUGGGCGCGGGGGUAGGCCCAAACACAAUCGUUCCACUUCUUCUUCUCCUUCUAUCACUGCUACUACUACUUCACUUCCUAUGCUCUUCAAUCGCAAACACAAUCAGUUCACACUGGACGAAGAUAGCGUCUGUGGAGAAAUGCUCAAUGCUCAGCUACACAAUGAUGUAGCUCCUGAUUUGGUUGACCACGCUCUUGCUUCCAAAACAAGAGUCCAUUGCUCUACCUCUCAUGACAUUUCUACUCUAGAUGAUGGUAUGGAGAUUGAUUGCUUCAAACAGACUUGUAUAAUAUGCAAUCAAGGUGGACAUGUGUUUGUUUGUGCUGAAUCUGGCUGCCCAAUUGCUCUCCACAAGAAGUGCGUGAGUCAGGAACUUAUAUCUGAUGACGACUUAGAACAAUUCUACUGCCCGUAUUGUUUGCACAAACGAGCGUUGGUACAGAAAGAACAACUGAGAAAAAAGGCUGAAUUGGCAAAGGAGGAUUUAUUGAAAUUUUUGGGUACAAAUGCCGUUGGUGGGGAUGGGCUAAAGCAGAAAGAUGGGGAAGAAAAGAGGUGUCAGGAUCAGCAUAAUACAGAUGAAGAACAGAUGACCGAAGAUGGUGCACUUGAUGCAUCAAAAGGAUCACAAGGCGGUCUAAAGAUACAUGAGGAAAACAUUUCUGAAGCACAUCAGUCUAAAUUUGCAGAAGAUGUAGAAAACAUACAACUAGAGAUGAAUGCAGAUGGGGCACUUGAUAGAUCAAAAGGAGGAUCAAAGGACGGUUUAAAGGUACCUGAGGAAAAUAAAGGCAGAAGCAAGGAUGAAGAACAAAUGCAGCCAAAAUCACCAAAGCAGACUUCAAAUGCUGAUUUUGCCUCUAGAACUACGGAUUCAGAUAUGGAGAUACUCGCAGCACGAGUAUGCCGAAUCAAACAAAGAGCCCAAAAGAAGCCUUUCCCUCAGAAUGAUGAUUCACCAAGGAAAUUAUCCUCUCAGGAAAAUAGCACCACAGAGAAAAAGGUCACCUCCAAGAAUAAGAAACAUGCUGCCUCCAAAAAGUCAAGACAACCUCAAGUGUCGACUAAGCAACUCACAACAAUGCCUUUUCCUACUGCAAAGCGAAAGAGAUUACUUUGGACAGCUGAAGAGGAAAAUAUGUUAAAGGAAGGUGUGCAUCAUGUUUCAGCUUCAGCCAAAAAAAAUGUCCCCUGGAGGAAAAUUUUGGAACUUGGUCGUCACAUAUUUCAUAAGAGUCGAACUCCAGAAGAUCUCAAGGAUAAAUGGAGGACGAUGUUGGCCAAAGAGCCUUAGACAAUUAAGAGAAGAUUGACUGAAUUGCUUAGUACAUCAGAUGACAAAGAUGGUUUACGUUGACAACAAUUCUAUUGGAGGUUUAAAUUGCAACUUUUCAUUCUUGAGGGAUCAAAAUGACAGCAACCCAAAGCUAGUGAAAGGGGUGACAGCAGGGUCUUUCUCCUAGUCAAGUCUAACUGUACGUGUGUAUAAUAUACCAGGAAGACCUCUUAAAUGAUGAAACAUGUAUAUAUAUCAAAUGGAUUCACUACUGUUUUUUGCUUGUCAAUGAAGGUUUUACAUUUUAUGAGAGGAAGAAAGAAAAGCAAGGCAGGAUAAAUUUGUUUCUAGGGCACAGGAGCAAACUUAACCCAUGAAUAAAACUUCCUGUAACUAGCAUUUUGGAUGGAGGAAAUUGCCAAGGUUGACUGUAGAUUGAAGAUAAAUGACCAUAGAAGUUGUAAUUGGAGCUUGCUUAAUAGAUCCUGGCCUUUCGAAGUAUGAUAAGUAUAUCAGGAAGCAAACUUCUGUGCAGAGAUUUUGACACAGCAGCAGGUGGAUAGUAACUGGAAUUACUUUGAAGUAAAUAAUAGUUUCCCAGCUAAGCAAAGGUGCUUUUAUCUUUUUGCCAAUUUUGAGAAGUAGCUUAUGCAUUUUUAGACGACUUUUUACUUAGAAACGCCCAGGGAUUUUCUCAUAGUAGUUAAGCAGCUCUACCAAACUAAAGAAAAUAGAUUUUCUCUUGUAUAUUAAUAUUGAUAUGAAGCCAAGGAUUUGUUUCAAUUUCAAGUAGUACAGCAUAUCCUUA